UAAAAGUGAAUCUACAAUGCGAUGAGGGAACAAACUGUUUGUAUGGAUGUGAGUAGAAGAAGAAUAACAGCUGCAAUUACAGAGAUAGACGCCCAUGGAGUGUUGAAAUAAUUUUGCUUCAACGUUGCCUUCCACUUGUGCCAUGGUAAUUUGCAAUAGGCCUGUAGAUCAGCAACAACACCAGAAUAUUGGAAAUAAGAAUAACUUAUCGCACAUCCUUUAUCAAGAUUGCGAAAUACAGUUGGAACUGCUUCAGUAUUCCCUAGCCCAAUAAUUUCGUUCUGAAGGAGUAAUUCCGCGUCCUUUGAAGUGCUGACAAGAUAAUUCAUCAUUAUAAUAUAGUCAUUCAAAUAUUUAGUGUAGGAAUGCAUCAUCUCGAAAGCCAGAACAUUUCUGUACAAACGCUCUGUGGCACCAUACACCGUUAAAAAUGGAAUUUCUAGAAUUCCCUCAUUAAAUUUGAUGUCGAGUAGAUCCUUGCUCGACCCUCGUUUAAACUUGACUCCAGCUUGGUGAAGUUCCAUUACACUGGGAAUGUUUAGAUCUUUCAACGCAAAUCCAGCAAUAUUACCCCUGAACCAAAAACAGGAAAUUGUCAUGAAGGAAAAUUCCUCAUACAAGUUCGUUUCAAACAUUGUUGUUUUGGCUAGAUUAAACAAGUCGUUGAGAAUGAACAAUGGAAGCUGAUUUUCUAGCAGCAAAAUCUCAUGCGUCACAUCAUUAUACAAAAAUAAUUUUCCUAAUAUGGGAUCCUCAUUCGUUCUGAGAUUAGGUUGAUAAUACUUCAGAAAGAGCUCAAUGAGAAACACAGCAUCCACUAAAACCAUUUUUAUGAACUCAUCACUCCCAAGAUUACAUUGAUUGUAAUUAAGGUUGUUGGAAGUACUGCUGUACGGCCAAGGCGGACGUGCGGUACAGCCGGAAAGCACUUAAGGUAUCUUUUCUUAUGCUCUUCCAUGGCUUUUAGCUCUUCCUUACCAUGAUGAAAAGGGCCAAUUGAAACCAUUCGCGGAGUAAAAUGACUUGGAUGGGAACACCGCGUGGCCUCAGGAACUCUGUAGAUGGAACACUCUCUGGCUAAGGGAUGCAAUGACUCCAGUUCCCCACUCAAAGAAUCUGCCAACUUCUCCAUAUCAAUCGAUACACCAUAACCCUCAUGCUCAUGCUUUCUGGUGUCCAUCUUCUCAUUAAUUGCUCGCUGCAGUAGCAACAAAAUGAAUGAAAUCAGUAAAACAGAAAGAAAACAGGUAGCAUUAAGAACAAUAACCGAAACAGGAGGUGAAGACGUGCAACUAGGAGUUUGGGAAGAGCAAGAGCAAUGAUGAGUCGAAGGAGAUGAUAUUGGUGGCGAAUUAUUUGAAUAUCAAAAAGAUGUUGGAUUAUUUGACCGAGGCUCUGGUCAACAAGAUUAAGAACAAGAGUGUCGAGUAUGUCAGGAAGUAAAGUUAUUUGGAAUUGAAAAUGAUUUUACGCUCGAGGAGGAGGAAGCAGCCAGGAAGGGUGAUGAUAAAGCAUAAGCUUUUUAAAUUUUAAUCCCCAUCAUUAUUUAAUUGAAGUAAUUUUAUGUUUUAUGUUUUACAAUAAUUGCUGGCUGGAUAUUGAUUGAUGUUGAAUUUGAUUAUAUCUGAUCACACUUCAUUACAUUCAAUUUAUAUUUACUAGUGUCUUUUAUAGUUUUUUUUCUUUCUUAUUUAUUUUUUGGCAUUGAUUUAGGGUAAAAUAAUAAUUUUAUGUUUGUGGGUAAAAAAAAUCAUUUGAUCAAUACUCUAUUAAUUCUAUUAACACCGUUAAAACGGCGAUGGACGAGUGCAUGAAAAUGUAUUUUCAAGUAGAAUUCAGCUUUAAAAAAAAUGUGUAUAAAAAAAACACAAGAAAAGAGGUGAUGCAUGGAUGAUUGCUCUUCAUUAAAAGACCAAGCUCUCGUAAUAAGAAAUGAUUUGUGGGCUGAUUUUUUAUUUUUUAUUUUUAGUUUUUUGAGAAUGCCCAUUGGAUUGUUUAAACGUGCGCUUUGCUCCCAUGAUCCUCGAUCAAGGAAUAUAAUAAAACAAUUCCAACCAAUCGUGCACUCUUCGGACAAAUUGAUAAGAGGUCAAGAGUCUUUUUUUUUUUUUUUUUUUAAUAUAGUGGAGCCUAGUAAAGACUAGGACAAACAGAGCAGGAAUGAAAGUCUCAUACAUAUUAUUACAUAACUAAUAUCCAAUCCCCUCCGGAUAAUUAGUCAAGAUUCUUUUUUUAAUACAACAAAACCGAGUUGCUUUCUCUAUAAAAUUGAAUAAAUUGUUUUCAUUUUAAUUUUUCAAUAAAGCAAAAAAUUAGCAACUAGGUGAUCGUGCUCAAACAAUUCAAUAGGCCACAAGUCAGUCCAAAAUUUAUGUCGAGGUUAGGUGACCCAAUUUAAUUAAAAUAAUAAAGCGACAAGUAGACAAUUCUUUUAUUAAACCCGGGCCCCGACUCAUGUGCUAGAUUCCUAUUUUAAAUUUGUCUAUUUUCACUUGUUAAACUGUCUUGCUAUACCAAGAAAGCCCUUCGUAUCUUCCACCUCCUCAAUGAUUUGGGUUCUCUCCAUUGAUGUUCUGAAUACUCAUUGAAAUUGAGUGAGAAAAUUUGUCAGUUCAGCUCAAAAGAUAAGCGUGAGAGAUUAAACAACUACUUGAAAAUACUUUGAUCCUUUAGAUGACAAAUUGACAAUUUAGGUUUUGUUGCACUUUAGAGUACCUCACGUUUUAUAUGUCUCAAAUUCAGGGUUGGACCGACUAUGAGUCAAUUUGACAAUGCUAGAAUUUUUAAAAUAAUUGUUAAUAAUUGUGCUGUAAAAUUAAUUAGUUGCGAAAGUUAAACAUUUAAUAAUUUUAGGUGUCUCUCUCCUGCUUUGCCGAUGUGGGAUUCACCUAGAGUGUUACAAUUUCUUAAUUGAAUAUGGAUAAUUUUAGAUAUUUAUAAUAUAUGUGAAGAUAUAUAUGAAAUUAGUUGUGUAAAGUUAUUCCUUUUCUACUUUUCUAAUUUACCAUAUAAUGGGGUGAUUUUACCAAAAGUAAUUUUUAAAAAAAAAUAUCAAAAUUAAUUUUUAUCUUUUCGAAAUCAAAAUUUUGAGCCUAAAAAACAAUCCCAAAAGGGCUCUAUGACAAACCACAUUUUAGUUGAAAUUUUUAAUUUCAAAAAAAAUGGUUUUGUUGCAAGUGUCAUGUUGUUACAACUGACAUAAAAAGUUUCUAAUAUUUAAAAAAUAAUAGUUUUUUUUUUCUUUUAUUUCUCAACUUUUAUGCUUAUUCAUGCAUCUCCACACGUCAGUGUCGCCUACAACUUUUAGCGUGGAAGACAUCAUCCGUACUCACGCCCUCCUUAUCGAGGGAGCGAGUUCGAAUCCCAGUGGGAGUAGUUCAUUAAGCCGCACCAUAAUGGAAAAGAAGUAGAUUCCUUUUCAAUGAAGGUGUAGUACGUUUCGCCGCGUCAAAAUAAAACCGAUGCCGCGUCAAAAUUAUUUGAUGUCGAGUAGAUUUUUGCUUGACCCUGGUUUAAACUUGACUCCAGCUUGGUGAAGUUCCUUUAGACUGGGAAUGUUCACAUCUUUCAACGCAAUAUCUGAAUGCGACUGGGAUGGCUGAAGACAGAGUAUAAGCAGAUCAACAAAAUGUUUAGCUCUCGAAAAGUUGAUUUCUAGCAAAUUCUCCUGUAUUGGAAGAUAUCCAGCAAUAUUACCCCUGAACCAAAAACAGGAAAUUGUCAUGAAGGAAAAUUCCUCAUACAAGUUCGUUUCAAACAUUGUUGUUUUGGCUAGAUUAAACAAGUCGUUGAGAAUGAACAAUGGAAGCUGAUUUUCUAGCAGCAAAAUCUCAUGCUUCAUAUCAACAUACAAAAAUGAUUUUCCGAAUAUGGGAUCCUCAUCAGUUCUGAAAUUAGGUUGAUAAAACUUCAGAAAGAGCUCAAUGAGAAACACAGCAUCCACUAGAACCAUUUUUAUGAACUCAUCACUCCCAAGAUGAAUUGUUUCAGCAUAACAGUUGCGCAAUUCUGCUUCCCUUGCCUUUAUAAAUCCAAGGAAACUUGCUAUGCGUACCUUAGUUCGUUGAAGAAAGCACUUAAGGUAUCUUUUCUUAUGCUCUUCCAUGGCUUUUAGCUCUUCCUUACCAUGAUGAAAAGGGCCAAUUGAAACCAUUCGCGGAGUAAAAUGACUUGGAUGGGAACACCGCGUGGCCUCAGGAACUCUGUAGAUGGAACACUCUCUGGCUAAGGGAUGCAAUGACUCCAGUUCCCCACUCAAAGAAUCUGCCAACUUCUCCAUAUUAAUCGCGUCAUAACCCUCAUGCUCAUGCUUUCUGGCGUCCAUCUUCUCAUUAAUUGCUGGCUGCAGUAGCAACGAAAUAAAUGAAUGAGAGUGAUGAUAGAGCUACAAACUCUUGAACAAACUUAUUUUGUACAAACUGAUUUGGCAUCAAGUCAUUGGUUGAAUAAAAAUAUAGUAUAAUAAAAACAAAUCAUGUGGACCAAGAGAUAUUUAAUCCAACUAAUUAAAUCAUGCUACAUCAAUUUAUACAAGAGCUUAUAACUAUAUUAUUACUCAAUGAAAUCAGUAAAACAGAACAAAACCGAAACCAGCUAUCUCGAGGACAGUUGCUAACUUAGUUCCCGAAUGAUUAAAGAGAACGAGAAAAGAAAACUCAUUUUGUUUUGCCGAUAGCCUCUGCUACACGUACAUACCCAAACAGCCCACUAAUAUAAUCAACAAAGUCUCCUCGCCCAAAAUAAAAAUAAAUUAUUCCUUAAUAUAAAGGUAUAUACGAGGACAGUCUCUUUUAGUUUAUAUUAUUAAAAGACCAAGUUCUCGUAAUAAGAAAUAAUUUGUGAGCUGAUACAUACAUGUGUGUGUACACAUUGAUUAAAAGAUAUAACAAUUGAUUACAUAUCUAUCAUAAACUUAUUAACACAUCAAAUCAAGUUCUCGUAAAAAUUAAGACAAGCGAAUACUCACAUUUUUAUCUUUGCUUCUUGAAUCAAUUAUGGAUGAUGAAACCAGUAUUAUAUAUGAUCGACCUUGUCGUCCGAACAAAUUGGUCCAUAUAUUUCAUAUAUAUAUAUAUAUAUAUAUAGAAUAAAUUGAUGUUGUACAUUUAUUCCUUUCUUCAGAACAUCACAAUUCUCUUGUCUUUUAUGGAACCUCUCUUUCAAUAAAGUCAGUAACUGUUUUCUUUCUUUACAGGUUCCCAUCUAAUAAGAUGCAUGCUUUAAGCUUCAUAAUUGAAAUCAUCAAAAAUUACAAAACGAAAAAUCAAGGACAAAGAUUGUAUUGGUUGUUAGAGUCUUAGAGAAAUCUCUUUACAUAAAAGUUUUAAGUUGAUUGGUAAGAAUCAAUAAGUAUUAUAGUUUUCCUCAAGUAUUAAAACCAGAACUCGUAGGUAAGCUUAGAGAUAAGAGAAUUUUAAAGUAAGUCAAUAAAUUCAAAUUAAAAUAAAGUUUGUAUGUGGGAGAAUAAACUUGAGAAAUCUCGUUAGUGAAAUAAUUUGGUUCAAGAGUUUAAGCAGAAUCAUAAGGAUCCAAUAAUAGCGUUAAAAUCAAGUCUCAUUAUGAUAAACAAUUUAGUGUAGCCUAAAAUGAAUUACUAAAGUAAAUUCUUGAAGAAAAAAAGCGUCUAAUAUUCUUGAACAUCAUCUUAAGUUAACUAAAACUUAAAGCAGGUUGGUUUGGGUUUCUCUAUGAAAAAAGGUAAAAGUAUUAACAUGUAUCAAGUAUAGUUAUGAAAAUUUACAAUUUCAGAUUUUAAUAUUUAUUUUGCUGAUUUGGCCCCCGGUAACUUUAAAAGUUUAACAUUUUACCCAUUAAUUAGAUAAUCUUUUUAACUUUAACCUUAAAACAUUUUUAUUCUAGCUCCGCCCCUUUUCAUCACUCCACGCAUGCAAAAGUUAUUUAAUACUUCAAAUUUCUCAAAAUUUAUGUUUAUUUAUUCAUGACACAGCCGUUGCUUGUAAGAGUAAUGCUAUACCUUAGAAGCAACAUCAUGGAAACAUUACCAUGUUUUAAUUGGCAUGUACAUUGAUCAUUUGGAACGAUGAACUAUUUAUUCGAUGUGUUUGGAAUUAUUCAUCUAUGAUCAUAUUCAUAUGCCAAGACUUCUGAAAUGUUAAGGCUAAAACAAGAGUGUUACAUGUCCAAAUUUAAGGAAUUAAUUAUGUGGUGUUUGGUUGGGAGAAGAGAAUGUAGGAGAGGAAAGUAAUUUAAAUUCCCUUUUUAUUUCUAUUGUUUGGUUUGACAAAAUAUAUAAGAAUUUAAUUUCCAUUAGAAUUUAAUAUCCAUUAUAAUAUAGAAUUUGAAUUCCAUACUAAGUAGUGAAGAAUUAAAUUCCUCUUAUAUUAGAAACUAAAGUUUCUAAAAUUACCCUUCAACUUUUUAACUUAUUUAAUGUCAUUAAUAAUUAUUAUUUUAUUGAUUUAAUAUUAUAAAUGGACCUCCACCGGAAAGUCACUGGACCACCGUCGGACCUCGCCGGACCACCGAAUCGCCAUUUUAUUAUAUAUAUUAUUACUAAUAUAAAUAGUUUAAUAUUUAAGGUAAAUGAUAAAUUUGUCUAAAAAAAUUAUAAUUAAUUUCCUUAUUAAAUUUUAUAUCAAACCAAACAACAAAAUCUAAUUUCACUACUCUUCUCCAUUCCUUUCUUCUCCCUUCCUUUCCAUUCCACUCUUUUCUUCUCUUCCCUUUUCUUCAAUCAAAACAUGACCUAGUAUUGUUAAAUAUGUAGGUACGAAUGUGAAAUGUGUAACUUAUUGUUAAAACUUAUGUGAUAUCCAACAUACCAUGUUACGAAUUAGCCAUUCUUGCAUGCGCGCUGCCUAACCAAAUUUAAUAGUUAAACAUUUUACCGUUCUACAAUUAGACUCACUGCUGUACCAAAUGAAAUAUCAUGUUCUUUCACAAGUUAGUUGUCAAGAAGCAGCAUUUUUUUUCCUUUAAAAUUAAAGGCUGGGGUCAUGAUUUCCCGCCAAAUUCAAAACCGAAUCCAGCUGUCAAAAAAUGGCCAUCACCUUCAUCAACUCCAAUCUCUUCUCUGUUCCUCAAAACGCCACUUGAUCACAAUAAAGACAUCAUAUACACUUCAUACUUACUUCACUUUCAAUUACACUUAACUUUACAAGAUCAUUUUCCAAUAACUUGCCUUAUAAGAGCUGUUUUUGUCCAAUAUUGGUUCAGCCCGAAACCUAAUGAGAGCUUUUUUAUGCAGAAAGUGGUUUCCUGGUGAAGAUCAAUGUUGGGCUGUCUGCAGAUAGUUUUGGCUAGAUUAAACAAGUCAUUGAGAAUGAACAAUGGAAGCUGAUUUUCUAGCAGCAAAAUCUCAAGCUUGACAUCAUCAUGCAAAAAUGAUUUUCCUAAUAUGGGAUCCUCAUUAGUUCUGAAAUUAGGUUGGUAGAAUUUCAUAAAGAACUCGAUGAUAAACACAACAUCUACUAAAACCAUGGGGGGACCCAAUUAAGGUCCAUAAGGGGUUGCCCAAUUAAGGCCCAACUCCUUCUGAGCCAUUAAUUUUUUUUUUUUAAAUGUACCCAAAGUCCCUUCUCAAAGAGUUAAAUAAAAAAAUUUAGACACAUUUUGUAUAUAACAAAAGACUUGUAGUUUAAUGGUAAGAGUGUUAUUUGAUGGUUUUAAAGUCUUGAUUUAAAUCCCAAUAACCAUAUUGUUUUGUUUUUUUUUAUAAAUAUUUUGUGAAAAAUACUUAGAAAAAUUAUACUUUCACGCAUUUAAAAUAAAUAAUUUAUUACAAUUAUUAUUUAGAAUUUAAAAGAAAGUAAUGAAAUUUGAGUUUAUGAGACUUAAAAUAUUAUUCAAGUGAGCGUUAAAAAAAAUCUCAAAUAAAAUAAAAUAAUUUUAACUAAACCCCUAAUUUAAGUGUCUGGAUCUCCCACUGACUAAAACCAUUUUUAUGAACUCAUCAGUCUCAAGAUGAAUUGUUUCAGCAUAACAGUUUCGCAAUUCUGCUUCCCUCGCCUUUAUGAUUCCCCACUCAAAGAAUCUGCCAACCUCUCCAUAUCAAUCGAUACAUCACAACGCUCACGCUCACGCUUCCUGGCAUCCAUCUUCUUAUUAAUUGCUCGCUGCGGUGGCAACAAAAUGUAUGAAAUCAGUAAAAUAGAAAGAAAACAAGUAGCAUUAAGAACUGUUUGAUAAUGAGAAAAACUCUGUUUGGUUGUAGAGAAAGUGAGAAAGAAAGUGAUGUAAAAUGAAGAAGAAAGUAAACUUUUUGUAUUAUUGAGUUUUUGGAAGCUAACAAAAUAACAACUAACUAAUGAUAUUUAUGCAUGCUAAUAAUACAUGAGUUUGUUAUGGAAUCUAUCUAGAAGAUUCAUACAGCUAACAGCUACUGAAUCUGUUUGUAACUAACUAUCCACAUCAGCAUAACUAACAUUUGUUUUUUGAGAACUUGAGAAGGUCUAUUGGACUGUUUAAACUUGUUCAGUUUAGUAAUAGAACAAUUCCAACCAAUCGUGCACUCGUCGGAUAACAAAACCGAGUUGCUUUCUUUUAAAAUUGAAUAAUUUGUUUUCAUCUUAUUUUUUUCAAUAAAGCAAAAAAUUAGCAAUCGCGUUCAAAUAAUCCAAUAGGCCACAAACACUCCAAAGUUUCUGUUGAGGCUGGGUGACAGUGACACGAUUUAUUAAAACCGGGCCCCGGCUCAUGAGCCUGUUUCUGUACUUGAUCAUAUUUUAAUGAAGAGUGUGUAAGAAAAUGAAUCCUGUUUCCUAUAUUAAAUUAGUCUAUUCCACUGGUGUAACUGUCUGGCUAUACCAAGAAAGCCUUUCGUAUCUUCCAUCUCUUCAAUGAUUUGGGGUCUCUCCAUUGGUGUUCUAAAUACUCAUUGAAAUUGAGUGGGAAAAUUUGUCAGUUCAGCUCAAAAAAUAUGUGCAUGUAUUGAUGGUGGUGACAUAUAUAGUAGAUAAGUGUGACAGUUUACACAACUACUUGAAAAUGCUUUGAUCCUUUAGAUGACAAUCUAGGUUUUGUUGCACUUUUUGACCGUGGUAGAAAUUGUCACUAAUAUUGUGAUAUAUCUUUUAUGCCAUAAGUACCUCACAUUUAUAUGUCUCAAAUUCAGGGUUAGGCCGACUAUGGGCCAAUUAGGUAAUGUUAUAACUUUUAAAAUAAUUAAUAUUAAUUGUGUUGUAAAAUUAAUCAGCUACAAAAGUUAAACAUUUGUUAAAAAUUUAUUUUUAAAAGUACUGUGAGUUAUAAAAUCAAUCAUAUGUAUUUAGUAAGAAUCUUAUUAUAAUACAAAUGACAAAAAUAAACAUAAUAUUAAAUAAAAUUUAUUUGCAUAUUUAUAAACAAGUAAUUUUUUUUAGUGUUAGUGUAUAUAUAAUAAUUGAUAACUGAAAUAAAUAUUUUUAUUUUAUUAAGUUUAAUUCUCAUUUUGUUAUCUUAAUAUAAUUGGUAAUGAUGAUAAUCUCUUUAAAUUUAAUGAUUUUGUUUCCCAAUUGAAUAUGAAUAAUUUUGGAUAUUUAUAAUAUAUGUAAAAAUGUAUAUGAAAUUGUAUUAGAUGUUUGUUAAAAAAAAAAAGAACUUUUGACGGUUAAAUAAGUUAUUUUGCUUGUAGCAAAUCUUAAAUUUUGGAUUUUUGGAAGUAAAUGUUAAAAAGUUUUUUUUAAAUAUUAAAAUAUCUAAAAUAUCAUUUAUUUAAUUGACAAUCUUUUUCAUUCAUUUUUUUGUCUGUUGAAGAAAUUUUAUAAUUUUUAAUAAAAACUCUCAUUGACAACCAAACAAAUAAACUAUCAUUUGUCAGUACGCCCACCUUCAUUAACGAGGAACGGAGAUCGAAACUUAGAAUCCCGGUAGGAGUAGUUCAUUUGACCGUACCGUAGUAGAAUUAGAAGUAGAUUCCUUUUCAAUGUAGGAGCAGUGCAUUUGGCCGCCCCAUAAUAAAAGCGAUACCAGUAGUUUUCUGAUUAAUAAAAUAUCAAUAUUUUUAUAAUUGUAAUUAAAAAUGAAAAGGACUGGUGAAUUUUCAGUAUAACUAAUCAUUUGAGGAGUAUAGAAUCAUUCAAUUAUGAUACAGACAGUGUUUAGGAGAUGAAAGAUUCAUUAUAAAUUUAUAAAUCCAAGACUAGUCUAAAAUCGCCCACCACAUUCCAUCAAUUUAUAUAACUACAUAUUUUAUUAUUUAUUGGAUAAAAAAUUUCAUAAUUAGUAAAAUUAUUAUAAUUAAAUACCAUCCAAUAGAUGAAUGCCAUAUGAAUUGGGAUCUAAAAAUUAAAAUCCCUAACCUUAUUGAUUUGUAAAUUAAAAUAUAGGGAUUUCUUUCAAUCGAAGGUCUGCCGAAACUAAAAAAAUGAUAACCACUGAAAUGAGACCCAGCUACAGUCAUAUAUUUUCGAAGCUACUGAAGCAGAUAAAAUAAUCAAAGCCAGCAUAGGACCACCUAAUAGAAGACAAGUUCGUUCACAUGGACCCGUUAAAAUUGAACCAAUAACAGCACCAUUAAUCUGGUUGCAGUUGUAACAUUAAUGUUAGCUGAGUGAUUUUUCCAACAAGUUAGUUGUCGAUAAAGAACAGCUUUAGUUUAGGAUGAUGAUUUCCCGCCAAAUUGAAACCCUAAUCCAACUGUCAAAAACCGCCCACCACAUUCACCAACUCCACACUCUAUUCCUCAAAACAUCACUCGAUCACAACACGUACAUAAUCUCACGCUUCAUUCUCACUUCACUUUCAAUCUCACUCCACUUUACGAGAUCCUUAUUCAAUAACUUGCCCGUCACGCCACCACUUUUUGCUUACAAUACCCUUAUAAGAGCGUACACGAAAACCUCUUGUUCGAUCGAAUCAAUCAAACUGUUUGAUGAAAUGCUAAAAACAGGGCUUACACCAGAUAAUUUUACGUGCCCUUCUGUUGUAAAAGCUUGUGGUCGGUGUCUAAUGAUUGGAGUUGGUGGGUCAGUGCAUUCGUUGAUUCCUAAAGUGGGUUUGGAUUCGGAUAAAUAUAUUGGGAAUACCCUUUUGAGGAUGUAUGCUGCCUGUAAGGAAAUUGAUUUUGGGAAAGCACUGUUCGAUGAAAUGCCUGAGAGAGAUGUGGUUUCUUGGAGUUCUAUGAUUGCGGCUUUUGUUACUUGGUAUGCUUCUUCAAUGAUUUGAUUUUAAUUGUUUAUGUGUCAUUGUUACUUGUCGUGGAUUUAAAAAAUAAAAUAAAAUAAAAAACCGUUAAUGUAAAUAAAAGCCAAAUAAUUGCUGCAUGAAGUUCAUUAGUUAAUGAGUUUGUCUAGUUUCGGUGCUUGUUUUCAUGUGAAUUUUGUUGUGCACGGAAUGCGGAAUCAAGUGCACCAAAUAAUUACUGAAAAAUAAAAGACACAAGAAUUACGUGGUUCGGUAAUUAAACCUACAUCCAUAGAGGCAAGAAGGAAUAAUUGUUCUUUGAAGAAAGCAUGGAUACCUUUGUUCUUUGAAGAAAGCAUUUUAGGUACCUUUGUUUAUGCUCUUCCAUGGCUUUUAGCUCUUCCUUACCAUGAUGGAAAGGGCCAAUUGAAACCAUUUGUGGAGUGUAUUGACUUGGAUUUAAACACCGCCUGGGCUCGGGCAUUCUGUAGAUGGAACACUUUGUAGACAAGGGAGGCAGGGUCUCCAACUUCCCACUCAAAGAAUCGGCUAACUUCUUCAUAUCAAUCGGCACAUGCUCGUUCUCGUCCUCAUGCGCCCUGUCAUCCAUAUAUAUUCAAUCAGUUGCUAAUGGAAGAAUAAUGAAAUAAAUGACAUUAGUAUGGAAAAUUCUUGGUGUGUUUCAGAACCAUUGCUCCUAUUGCAAUCACUCUUUGUCUAGUAUAUUUUUCAAUUAAUAAAGUCAGUAAGUGUUAUCUUUCUUUAUUGGUUCUCAUGUAAUAAGAACAAAGAUUAUAUUGGUUGCUAGAGUCUUAGAGAAAUCUGUUGACACAAAAAUUUAACUUGAGAGUCAAUAAGUAUUAAUUAAACAAUUAAUGGGUCCCCUAACGUACAAAAUUCAGAGCAUGUAGAUGAGCCGUGAGACAAGAGAAUUCAAAAGCAAGCCAAUAAAUUCAACUUUGAAUUCUUGUUACAGAAAUAACAUAGUUUCAAAAGCUUAAGCAUAAUAAUAAGGAUCCAAUAAUAGUAUUAAAGUAAAGUCUUACAACGAAUUUACUGCAAUGAGCAAUUUAGCAUAGCCUAAAAUGAAUUACUACCAUAAAUUCCUGAGGAAAAAACCGUGUAAUAUUCUUGAACCUCAUCUCAAGUUAAUUAAUUUAAAACUUAAAGCAGAUUCGUUUCGGCUUCUCAAUGAAAAAAAGGUGAAAGCAUAAACAUGUUUUAAGUAUUAUCGUCGAUACUUUCAUCCAUGGGGAAGCUGUCCCAUGGAAAACAGAGGCCCUGCCCUGCUGUUGUAUGUCCAAAAACAAUGAUUAAACAUAAUUAUGUAAAUUUACAAUUUCAGAUUUUAAAAUAUUUAUUUUUCUGUUUAGCUCUUACAACUUUAAAAGUUUAACAUUUUACCCCAAUAAUUAAAUACUCUUUUUCAACUUUAACCCAAAGAGAUUUACCUCUACGACAUUUGAUACCCCCUAAAUGUUUUAUGAAGCACAGCGCUUCCUUGUAAUCGUGUCUUUUACUUGGCAGAGAUAUGUAUUGAAUUUUAUUGCUCCGCACAGCUGCUUUGAAUCGAAGGCCACUUCAAAUUCCUUAAUAUGGGGUCCUUUUCAAUAGAAGCUGGUCUUUAUCCGUCCGAUGGGACAGUAAAUAAUCAAAUUUUCAUCACUGUGCUGGGCCACCACACGCUUUUGCCUUUUCUUUCAACUUUCCAGGACCCAUGCUUUUAUGAUUGCUUGACUUAUCUUGCUUAUGUUUUAUCAUUAUGUGCUUGACUUGACUUGGGGCUUACUAUAUACAAUUACUCUCUCAUUUCACAGUAAAAGCUCUAACUUGAUUAUAAAUUUUAUCAAUAAAUCAACUAAAUAAUUAUUACGAAUUGUAGAAUGAAUAGAAGUACUGGUUAUUCAAAUGUUAAAAUCUUUCAUAGAAUCGCAUUGCUACAUUAUCACAUUAUUGCCUUUCUUUUUUAUCUGCCGUGCCAUCCUCCAUUACUGAUGUUAGCUAGGUGACACAAUUUAAAAACUGAGGUGACAAGUAGACAAUAUAAAGGUGCUUGACUUGUUGGAAAGGCGAGUGAAAAUAGCAACAGUAACCAGAGAAAUCAACUGCUCUUAUUUUUUAUACAUUCUGUGGGUGAGCUAAACAAAACAGAGGCACUAGCAAGCAAUACAAAUGAAAUGCUUCUAAAAAACACAAAAAUUGAUCACAAACAGUAGAAAUUAAUAAAUCUACAAUGCAAUUAGAGAAGAAACUGUUUGCGUGGCUGUGAGUAGAAGGAGAAUAACAGCUGCAAUUACGGAGAUAGACGCCCAUGGCGUGUUGAAAUAAUUUCGCUUCAAGGUUGCCUUCCAUUUGUGCCAUGGUAAUUUGCGAUAGGCCUGUAAAUUAGUCACAACACCAGAAUAUUGGAAAUUAUAACUAUUUAACGUACAGUCGGGAUCAAGGUUUCCAAAAACAGUUGGAACAGUUUCAGUAUUCCCUAGCCUAAUAACUUCAUUUUGAACGAGCAAUUCUGCAUCUUUCGGACAGCUGAUGAGACAAGCCAUCAUUAUAAUGUAAUCAUUAAAAUAUCCGUCGUAGCCAUGCAUACUCUCGAAGGCUAGAAGAUUUCUGUACGCACGCUCUGUGUUAUCAUACACCUUGAAAAAUGGAAUUUCCAGAAUUCCUUGAUUAAAAUUGAUGUCGAGUAGGCUUUUGGUUGACCCCGCAGCUGGUUUAAACUUGACUCCGGCUUCGUGAAGUUCCUCCACACUUGGUAUGUUUUGAUCUUUCAACGUAAUUUGAGCACGUGACUGGGAUGGCUGAAGACAGAGUAUAGUCAGGUCGAGAAAAUGCUCAGCUUUGGAAAAGUGGAUUUCUAGCGAACUCUCGUCCAGUGGAAGAAAUACAAGUACUUGACUCCUGAACCAAAAACAUGUAAUUUUGACAAAGGAAAUAUUCUCAUAAAAGGCAUCUUCAUCGGUUACUGUUUUGGCUAGAUCAAACAAGUCAUUGAGAAUGAAUAAUGGAGGCUGAUUUUCUAGCAGCAAAAAGUCGUGCCAUAUUCUUUUACGCAAUUGGGGUUUUCUAAAAAUGCGAUCAUCAUCAGUUGUUAACUUACGUUUAUAAAAUCUCAGAAAGAACUCAAUGAGAAAGACAGCAUCCACUAAAACCAUCGCUACGAACUCAUUACUUCCAAGAUUACGAAUGGUUUCUGCAUAACAAUUGCGCAGUUUUGUUUCCCUUUCCUUUAUAAAAGAGAGGAAACGUUCCAUGCGCACCUUAGUCCGUUGAAGAAAGUAUUUUAGGUACCUUUGUUUAUGCUCUUCCGAGGCUUUUAGCUCUUCCUUACCAUGACGAAAAGGGCCAAUUGAAACCAUUCGCGGAGUAAAAUGACUUGGAUUUGAACACCGCGUGGGCUCAGCAACUCUAUAGAUGGAACAAUCUUUAGACAAGUGACGCAGGGUCUCCAACUUCCCACUCAAAGUAUCUGCUAACUUCUCCAUAUCAAUCGAAACAUCCUCACUGUCAUCCAUAAACAACAUGGAAAAUAUGCACAUCAGGGAGCAAUUUAGUAGAUCAGAUCAGCUCAUUAUUGGCAAUGGACAAGGUCUGAAUAUAACUCAUAUUGGUGAUGCAUUUCUCACUUUUAAAAGUUCAAAUGCCAAACACAAACACACGCCUAUAGCAUUAAAAGAUAUAUUGCUUGUUCCUUCAAUUACUAAGAAUCUUUUGAGCAUUUCUAAACUCAUUGCUGAUAAUAACUUGUCUGUUGAAUUUCUUGGAAAUAUCUGUGUUCUUAAGGAUACUCUGAAGGGGCAAGUAUUGAUGCAAGGUGUUGUGAUGUGAAGCAAAUCUGUUUGUGAAAACGUCAGCUGAUGCUGCGUUUUGGAAAGUCAAACUCGUAUCUCCUGGAACGACAUGUAUGAAGGUCGUUUUGGUUAAGUGAUGCACGAGAGUUUCACGUGCAUGGAUAAGUUGCGUUCUUGGUUCGUUAGAAUCAGUUAACUCACAUGACUGUCACGUGGGUUUCUGGGUUGGUUGCUGAUUCGUUAACAAGCUGUUAUAUACAGCUGAUUCUGGCAACAGAGAAAAAAGAAGAGAGAGCUAUUGUGAGUUGAGAAGAUUAAUAACAAAAGGCUUCUUGAGAGACUCUGUAACAAGCUUGAUGAACUCUCUGUAACUCCUUUAAACAAUCAAUACAAUUGGGUUCUGUUUCUCCCGUGGAUGUAAGCUAGACUGAAGCUAGCUGAACCACGUUAAUUCUUGUCCUUUUCUUUAAUUCUUUCAGUUCUAAUAAUCUGUGUGUAUUCUACUGGAUUGAUUCUUGGUACAUCUUGUUUGUUUGGGUGUGAUCUUGGGAAGUGUUUUGAGUUGAUUGGGAUAGUUAGUCACUCUUAAACACUACACAAGGCCUUACUGAGAGAGGAUUAUACAGGCUGUUAAUAAACUCCUCUUCUUCAAAAUCUCAGUCAUCUUCUUCUUUUAUUUCCUAUAUGUCUUCAAAUAAACCACUUUCAAUGUUGUCCUUUUAUCAUGUUGAUUCUGCUAGUCAUACUGAUACUGUCAGUGAAACUGCAAAUUUUAAAACUUGUUAUCAGACUGCUGUAUCACAUUCUGCUAAUUCAAUCAAUAAAGCUUUACUUUUUCAUAGAAGAUUUGGCCAUCCCAGUACUCAAGUGCUGUUACAUAUGCUCAAAACUGACAAAUCCAUCUCAGUUCCUACAUAUCAAAUUCAUCAAUUACAUCAAACAACAUGUGAAGCAUGUCAAAUGGGCAAGGUUCAUAGACUUUAUUUUCCCUGCACAGAAACUAAAACUACCCAAAUUCUUGAGCUCAUAUACACAGACUUGUGGGGACCUUCACCUAAUCUAUCUAGAGAUGGUUACCAAUAUUAUAUAAGUUUUGUGGAUGAUUUCAGUAGAUACACCUGGAUAUAUCCUUUAAAAUUUAAGUCAGAUGCAUUAGAAGUUUUCAAACUCUUCAAAUUGCAAGUGGAAAACCAGUUUACCACCACCAUUAAAACUCUGCAAUCUGACUGGGGAGGGGAGUAUAGACCUUUUACAGAAUUUCUAAACCAAUCUAGUAUUAUCUUUAGGCAUUCCUGACCUUAUACACAUCAUCAAAAUGGAUUGGUUGAGAGGAAACACAGACAUAUUGUAGAAUCAGGAUUAACACUUCUUGCUCAAGCUCAUUUACCUUUCCAAUUCUGGUGGGAUGCUUUCCAUACAGCAGUAUACCUUAUUAAUAGAUUGCCAUAACCUAUUCUAAAACUUUUGACCCCAUAUGAAAAGAUUUUCAAGCAUAAGCCUAAUUAUAAUAUGCUCAGAUGCUUUGGCUGCACAUGUUACCCUUAUUUGAGAGAUUAUAACAAAUAUAAAUUUGCUUAUUAUUCUAGCAAAUGUGUAUUCAUUGGUUAUAGUCCAUCACAUAAGGGAUAUAAGUGUGUACAUGCUUCAGGCAAAAUUUAUAUUGCCAGACAUGUUGUCUUUGAUGAGUUCACAUUUCCAUAUACCACAGAUUCUGUAUUCCUCAAACAUUCAGCCUCUGAUUCUCAGCCUUCACUUUUUAUUACAUCUCAACAAGUUCAUCAUCUUUCCACUUUACCUAUCAUACCAAUCUUUCUUAAUGACAACACUAAUGAUCCAAUCUCAGUGAAUUCAGAAAGCAUUGGUACAGGCACUUCAGUUCAUCCUGCAAAGCAAGAAGUUAAUCCAGAAUCACAGCAAGGUACAAUAAGUAACUCUUCACCUAUUCUCAACUAUCCAUCUCUAUGUCAUGAACCUGUAUCUAAUUCAUCAUUACCUCAAACUCUCAACUCCCCUAAACAACAACCUAAUAAUCCCAUUACACACUCUCAUACACCAUAAAAUACACACCAUAUGAUAACUAGGAGCAAAGCAGGUAUCUUUAAGCCAAAAGUGUAUAUUGCUGAUCUUGUUCACAAAGAACCAGACAUUGUACAAGAGGCAUUAAAUGACUCAAAAUGGCUGCAAGCCAUGAAGGAGGAGUAUGAUGCCUUAAUCAGUAAUGAUACAUGGGUAUUGGUUCCAAGACAAGCUAAUCAACAAGUUGUUGAGAAUAAAUGGAUUUACAGAAUCAAAUACAAUACUGAUGGAAGUGUUGCUAAAUACAAGGCAUGGCUGGUUGCUAAAGGCUUCCAACAAAUAGCAGGUGUAAACUAUUUUGAAACUUUCAGUCAUGUUAUUAAACCAGCAACUGUCAGAGCAGUGUUGAGCUUAGCAAUGAUGAAUCAGUGGAAAGUAAGGCAAGUUGAUGUAAAUAAUGCAUUCCUUAAUGGAAAAUUAAAAGAAUAGGUGUUUAUGUGUCAACCUGAAGGAUUUGUUGAUAAUCAGAAACACAAUUAUGUGUGUAAGCUACAUAAGAGCUUGUAUAGACUCAAACAAGCUUCAAGAGCUCGGUAUGACAAGCUGAAAAAUUAUCUGCUGCAGUGGGAUUUUGCUAAUACCAGUUCAAAUUCUUCUUUGUUUAUUAGAAGAAGUUCAAAUUCAUUGAUUUUAAUACUCAUAUAUGUGGAUGACAUCGUGAUUACAGGACCAAACACUACUGAAUUGGAAAGAUUUAUAGUUCAGUUUAAUACAACCUUUGCUUUGAAAGACCUUGGAAUUUUAUCAUACUUUCUUAGAGUUGAGGUGUUAUAUGACGCAGGCUGCAUUUAUUUGUCACAAAAGAAAUAUGUGAGAGACUUUGAUGGUUGUCGAAGCCAACAAAAAUAAAUACCUACUCUAAAUAAAUUGUGUAUAGUGAUUGAGCAGGGUCAUGUCCACAAAGAUCGAUAAUUAUUUAAAUCCUUUUGAAACGUAAAACGUAAAAUAAGGGAAUUGUUGACAAUAAUAAAAAUCAAAUUAAAAUAAUAAGAAUGCAAAUUAAAGUUGUAAUUCAAAUUGGAGAAAGCUCUGGUUGAAGGAAUUAACUUAGCUUGAUUCGACUACUGAUCAUUGAUUCAAAUAUAAAUUAUUAUUACUUAUGAAUAGACCGGUUAUAGCUACUGAGACCCUCUAAUAGCCAAUCUCUCCUUAACUAGUCGAUAACUAAGGUAUGACCGUUGGUUAUUUUUCUAAUCAAUAGACAACCCUAGAUACGAUCAUAUGAUUUAAUCAAUUGACAGCCUGAAAAACCAGAGAGACCCAAAUCCUAAUCAACAAACACAUACAAUGGUUCCUGGGUAUUGGUUCCAAGACAAGCUAAUCAACAAGUUGUUGAGAAUAAAUGGAUUUACAGAAUCAAAUACAAUACUGAUGGAAGUGUUGCUAAAUACAAGGCAUGGCUGGUUGCUAAAGGCUUCCAACAAAUAGCAGGUGUAAACUAUUUUGAAACUUUCAGUCAUGUUAUUAAACCAGCAACUGUCAGAGCAGUGUUGAGCUUAGCAAUGAUGAAUCAGUGGAAAGUAAGGCAAGUUGAUGUAAAUAAUGCAUUCCUUAAUGGAAAAUUAAAAGAAUAGGUGUUUAUGUGUCAACCUGAAGGAUUUGUUGAUAAUCAGAAACACAAUUAUGUGUGUAAGCUACAUAAGAGCUUGUAUAGACUCAAACAAGCUUCAAGAGCUCGGUAUGACAAGCUGAAAAAUUAUCUGCUGCAGUGGGAUUUUGCUAAUACCAGUUCAAAUUCUUCUUUGUUUAUUAGAAGAAGUUCAAAUUCAUUGAUUUUAAUACUCAUAUAUGUGGAUGACAUCGUGAUUACAGGACCAAACACUACUGAAUUGGAAAGAUUUAUAGUUCAGUUUAAUACAACCUUUGCUUUGAAAGACCUUGGAAUUUUAUCAUACUUUCUUAGAGUUGAGGUGUUAUAUGACGCAGGCUGCAUUUAUUUGUCACAAAAGAAAUAUGUGAGAGACUUGUUGUCCAAGGUUGAAAUGAUAAACUGCAAAGGAAUUGAUACUCCUAUGAGUACUGGAACAAAGCUGCAGAAAGUUGUACAAGGAGAGCUUGGUUAUUAUCUUGAGGAUCCUUCACACUAUAGGAGCAUAGUUGAGGGAAUGCAAUAUCUAAUAUUAACCAGACCAGAAAUUGCAUUUGCUGUCAACAAACUUAGUCAGUAUGUUUCUGCUCAUACUCUACAAUAUCUAAUGGCCUCUAAGCGAGUAUUGAGGUAUCUGAAAUCCACUCAAGACUAUGGUUUGAAAUUUACAAGAGAAGGAAGCAUGCAGCUCACUGGUUUUACAGAUGCAGACUGGGUAUGUGAUCUAAAUGGCAGGAAAUCAAUUGAUGCUUAUUGCAUCUAUUUGGGGAAUAAUUUGAUUUCAUGGUCUUCAAAGAAGCAAUCUGUGGUAAUAAGAUCUAGUGCUGAGAGUAAGUAUAGAGCAUUGGCAGCAGCAAGUGCUGAACUUACUUGGCUGCAAUAUUUGUUUACUGAACUGGGGAUUAAUUGCACAGAUAAACCAACAAUUUGGUGUGACAAUGUCAGUGCUACUGAGCUUGCAAGAAAUCCGGUGUACCAUUCAAGAACCAAGUAUAUUGAAAUAUAUAUGCAUUUUAUUCGCAAUAAAGUAGUUGCAGGAGAGCUCAGAAUUCAAUAUGUUCCAAGUGAAGAACAAGUUGCUGAUAUAAUGACCAAGCCCUUAUCGUUUGUAAAAUUCAACUACUUAAGAUCCAAACUCAACGCUCAUCUAUGUCUGCUGAGUUUGAGAGGGGCUGUGAAGAUAGCUCAUUAUGGAGAAAGAAGUAAUGAAAAGCAGAGGAAGGAAAAGCUUAAGCUGAAACGUGAUGCAGAGGAUAGUAGCAGUAAAGCUAUCAGCUCAGAUGCCAACUCAGCAAAGUUAGUUUCAUAUAGUUAGAAAAUACAAAACGUAUUGCAAUGAGUGUUAGCUGAUUGCUUUGUUAAUUAGUUACAUUGAUUGUAAUUAAGGUUGAUGGAAGUAUAAAUACUCAGCUCAUAAUACUCUGUUAUCAAGGAAAAAUAAUAAAAUUCAAUUUAUGAUUAAUCCAGAACUCCUACUCACUAUUUUCUCUAGAAACAAACAACUCCUUUCAUAAUUUUUUCAAUAUCGAGCUCCUGAGGUGUUGCUUUUAUCUGAGAUUUAUGGACCUGAAGUUGAUAUGUGGGCGAUGGGUGCUAUUAUGUUCGAGAUGUUGAGUUUCGGGAUUCACUUUCCGGGGAAAAGCUCAGCUGAUCAGAUUUACAAAAUCUGCCAACUGAUUGGAAGCCCUACUAAGGACUCUUGGCCUCUUGGAAUUCAACUCGCGAGCAAUCUCAAUUGGAAAUUCCCGCAGAUGGGUGGUGUGAAUCUGCUAGCAGUGAUGCCAUCAGCUUGAUUUCGUGGCUCUGUUCCUAGAAUCCCUACAUGAGGCCGACCGCUGCGGAAGCUUUACAACAUCCUUCUGAAGUUGCUAUUUUGUUCCUCGAUCACGGCCGCUUCUUUACAAUAAUUUUGAAACUGUCGCGUUUCAUGUUGCCACAGUCGCAAUGCGCGGACGUUCUUGACAUAUUCUUAGGAACCGAAUGAUGAGCAAUUAUGUUCAUGUUUCUGUUGGGGAAAAAUCAGGUUUUUAAAUUUUUAUAAAACCUUUUAAGAUAGUUCUCAUAUAAUAUAUAAGAAUUUUAUUCUAGAAAUCGAACCUUGAAAAUUCGAUAUGGCUUUUUUCGUUGAAGUGAUUUAGGCUCCUAGAUCACGAUCCGCCAUCACCACUCCUGUUAGAUCACAAUCCGUCACCACCACGCUUAUUAGAUCACGAACUGUCACCAAUGAUCUUCCAGGUUAUGACUCAGGUUCGAUCUACACUUGACGUGUGGGCGCCUUUAUCACUACUAAAGCAACUAGCACGAGAAAAUUUUUCUCUCAACAAUAGAGAAAAAAAUCUUAUUCUCUGAUCUGUAUAAAGUGGCUACCCCUUUUUUUUUGAGAAAAUAAGCCUUUUAUAUCUCCCUUUAGUGAAAACCCUAGACUCCAAAUAAUCAAAAAACAAAACUUACGUUACUUGCUUUUUCUAUAGGGGACCUACCUUGUAAAAUAACAUAAGGCCCCUUACACACAAGCUAAUUAAAUGGAGCCUCCCACUAAAUGAUAUAUUUAGACUUUUGACCCAAAUAGCUAGUUAUCUUACUUAUUAGUCCAGUAGUGGUGCAGUCAAUUAAAUGAGCUAACCCGGGGAUCAUUUGGGAACAUAUAAUAGUGGCUACAAUAAUUAGGCCUGUAAUUAAACUAGCCCAAUUAUUUAAUUCCAAAUCUACUCCACUAAAAGAUUGGAACUGACUUCCAUAAUUGUAUGCUCGAAUAAUAAUUCGUCCCAAGCCACAUUGAUUUCUUUACUGCACAAUCCUUUGUACCACAUCGUUAAUUAAAUUGAUAUCUCAACUGUCCAAUCAAUUUAAUAACAUCCUGCUGUACCGUACAUCCGCCUUGGCCGUACAGCAGUAUGUGAAACAACCUCCUGGUUUUGAAAAUGAAAAAUUUUCAGAUCAUGUGUAUAAGUUAUGCAAGGCUUUGUAUGGUUUAAAACAAGCACCUAGAGCUUGGUAUGAUAGGCUUAAAAAUUUCUUGUUGGAUAAUGAUUUUUCGAUGGGAAAAGCCGACACAACUCUUUUUGUUAAGCAUAAGAACCAAGACAUACUUAUUGUUCAAAUUUAUAUUGAUGAUAUUAUUUUUGGUUCUACUAAUGAGUUGUUGUGUAAAGAUUUUUUAUCAUGUAUGAGCCAAGAGUUUGAGAUGAGUAUGAUGGGAGAGUUGAAGUACUUCCUUGGACUUCAAAUCAAACAAAACGAGGAAGGAAUUUUCAUAAACCAAGCUAAGUACGUGAAAGAUCUACUCAAAAGAUUUGGCUAUGAUAAUGGAACGGCAAAAAGCACUCUUAUGAGUACUACCAUCAAGCUGGACAAAGAUGAGAAAGGUAAUGAAGUUGAUAUCAAGACAUAUCGAGGUAUGAUCGGAUCCUUACUCUACUUGACUGCUAGUAGGCCUGAUAUUAUGUUUAGUGUUUGCUUGUGUGCUAGAUUUCAAUCUUGUCCUAAAGAGUCUCACAUGCUUGCUGUCAAACGCAUUUUUCGAUAUUUAAUUGGCACUAUUAUGUACGGUACAGCAGUAGAUUAUGUACGGUACAGCAGNNNNNNNNNNNNNNNNNNNNNNNNNNNNNNNNNNNNNNNNNNNNNNNNNNNNNNNNNNNNNNNNNNNNNNNNNNNNNNNNNNNNNNNNNNNNNNNNNNNNNNNNNNNNNNNNNNNNNNNNNNNNNNNNNNUUCUAAUAUUAAUUGAAUCAUCAAAUUUUUAUCAUUAUGUGCUUGACUUAUUGUGAAAACAGCAAAAGUAAGUACAGAAAUCAGCUGCUCUUAUUUCUUUUAUACACGUACUGUGGUUGAGCUAAACAGAAACACUCACUGGUAAUACAAGUGAAAUCCUUCAAAGAAAAUAAUACAUAAUAAACUGUAAAAGUGAAUCUACAAUGCGAUGAGGGAACAAACUGUUUGUAUGAAUGUUAGCACAAGAAGAAUAACAGCUGCAAUUACAGAGAUAGACGCCCAUGGAGUGCUGAAAUAAUUUUGCAUCAAGGUUGCCUUCCACUUGUGCCAUGGUAAUUUGCAAUAGGCCUGUAGAUCAGCAACAACACCAGAAUAUUGGAAAUCAU
rnacentral:lncRNA from 1 species